UACAGAGGUCUCAACCGUUGUUCGGAUUCAUUGGGCGUAAAGGGUGCGUAGGCGGUCGCGUAAGUCAGGUGUGAAAUCUCAGGGCUCAACCCUGAAACUGCACUUGAUACUGCGUGGCUCGGGUACUGGAGAGGAGACUGGAAUUUACGGUGUAGCAGCGAAAUGCGUAGAUAUCGUAAGGAAGACCAGUGGCGAAGGCGAGUCUCUGGACAGUUACUGACGCUGAGGCACGAAGGCCAGGGGAGCAAACGGG
rnacentral:rRNA from 1 species